AACGAACGCUGGCGGCAUGCCUAACACAUGCAAGUCGAACGAGACCUUCGGGUCUAGUGGCGCACGGGUGCGUAACGCGUGGGAACCUGCCCUUAGGUUCGGAAUAACUCCCCGAAAGGGGUGCUAAUACCGGAUAAUGUCUUCGGACCAAAGAUUUAUCGCCUUUGGAUGGGCCCGCGUUGGAUUAGCUAGUUGGUAGGGUAAAAGCCUACCAAGGCGACGAUCCAUAGCUGGUCUGAGAGGAUGAUCAGCCACACUGGGACUGAGACACGGCCCAGACUCAUACGGGAGGCAGCAGUGGGGAAUAUUGGACAAUGGGCGAAAGCCUGAUCCAGCAAUGCCGCGUGAGUGAUGAAGGCCUUAGGGUUGUAAAGCUCUUUUACCCGGGAUGAUAAUGACAGUACCGGGAGAAUAAGCUCCGGCGAACUCCGU
rnacentral:rRNA from 1 species